rnacentral:rRNA from 1 species
AUUAGUUAGUUGGCGGGUAACGGCCCACCAAGCCUGCGAUCAGUAACUGGUGUGAGGGCACGACCAGUCACACGGGCACUGAGACACGGGCCCGACUCCUACGGGAGGCAGCAGUAAGGAAUAUUGGUCAAUGGACGCAAGUCUGAACCAGCCAUGCCGCGUGAAGGAUGAAGGUCCUCUGGAUUGUAAACUUCUUUUAUAGGGGACGAAAAAAGGGAAUUCUUUCUCGUCUGACGGUACCCUAGGAAUAAGCACCGGCUAACUCCGUGCCAGCAGCCGCGGUAAUACGGAGGGUGCAAGCGUUAUCCGGAUUUACUGGGUUUAAAGGGAGCGUAGGUGGGCAGUUAAGUCAGUGGUGAAAUCUCCGAGCUUAACUCGGAAACUGCCAUUGAUACUAUCUGUCUUGAAUAUUCUGGAGGUAAGCGGAAUAUGUCAUGUAGCGGUGAAAUGCUUAGAUAUGACAUAGAACACCGAUUGCGAAGGCAGCUUGCUACAGGAUUAUUGACACUGAGGCUCGAAAGCGUGGGGAUCAAACAGGAUUAGAUACCCUGGUAGUCCACGCCCUAAACGAUGGAUACUCGACAUCAGCGAUACACUGUUGGUGUCUGAGCGAAAGCAUUAAGUAUCCCAC